rnacentral:lncRNA from 10 species
UUGCGUGCGUGUGCGCCCGGCGCGCGGAGGCCCAGUGCGCGUGCGCCGCUUGUUGGGCCGCAUGGCUUUCGGCCGGCCGUUCAGGGACUGGCUGCCGGACGGCGACUGCGGCCUUUGUUCGUGCGCGCUGGGCCAGGGGCGCCUGGCGGCGGCCAGAUGCUACCGGGGGGCAGGGGUGGAGGGUGGGCUGUCCCUUUGGUUCCCGUGAGACGCAGGGGGUGCCUUCUUGGGGCGCUCCUGGGGUGGCGCGGAGCCCGAGGGGGUGGCCAGCCGGGAUUUCGGGGAGCAGGGCUCAUGGGCGGAUCGGGGAGGGCGUGCGUGAAAAUACGGGUUCUUGGGCUCGCCCCAGUCCUGGGAAUAAGCGCCUCAGGGUGACUGGUCUCCCACGCAGCGUUGCUUUUUUUAAAGCCCGAGCGGGAAGAAGUUCCGCAGCAAGCCGCAGCUGGCGCGCUACCUGGGCGGCUCCAUGGACCUGAGCACCUUCGACUUCCGCACGGGCAAGAUGCUGAUGAGCAAGAUGAACAAGAGCCGCCAGCGCGUGCGCUACGACUCCUCCAACCAGGUCAAG